UGAACGCUGGCGGCAUGCCUUACACAUGCAAGUCGAACGGCAGCACGGGUGCUUGCACCUGGUGGCGAGUGGCGAACGGGUGAGUAAUACAUCGGAACAUGUCCUGUAGUGGGGGAUAGCCCGGCGAAAGCCGGAUUAAUACCGCAUACGAUCUACGGAUGAAAGCGGGGGACCUUCGGGCCUCGCGCUAUAGGGUUGGCCGAUGGCUGAUUAGCUAGUUGGUGGGGUAAAGGCCUACCAAGGCGACGAUCAGUAGCUGGUCUGAGAGGACGACCAGCCACACUGGGACUGAGACACGGCCCAGACUCCUACGGGAGGCAGCAGUGGGGAAUUUUGGACAAUGGGCGAAAGCCUGAUCCAGCAAUGCCGCGUGUGUGAAGAAGGCCUUCGGGUUGUAAAGCACUUUUGUCCGGAAGGAAAUCCUUGGCUCUAAUACAGUCGGGGGAUGACGGUACCGGAAGAAUAAGCACCGGCUAACUACGUGCCAGCAGCCGCGGUAAUACGUAGGGUGCGAGCGUUAAUCGGAAUUACUGGGCGUAAAGCGUGCGCAGGCGGUUUGCUAAGACCGAUGUGAAAUCCCCGGGCUCAACCUGGGAACUGCAUUGGUGACUGGCAGGCUAGAGUAUGGCAGAGGGGGGUAGAAUUCCACGUGUAGCAGUGAAAUGCGUAGAGAUGUGGAGGAAUACCGAUGGCGAAGGCAGCCCCCUGGGCCAAUACUGACGCUCAUGCACGAAAGCGUGGGGGAGCAAACAGGAUUAGAUACCCUGGGUAGUCCACGCCCUAAACGAUGUCAACUAGUUGUUGGGGAUUCAUUUCCUUAGUAACGUAGCUAACGCGUGAAGUUGACCGCCUGGGGAGUACGGUCGCAAGAUUAAAACUCAAAGGAAUUGACGGGGACCCGCACAAGCGGUGGAUGAUGUGGAUUAAUUCGAUGCAACGCGAAAAACCUUACCUACCCUUGACAUGGUCGGAAUCCCGCUGAGAGGUGGGAGUGCUCGAAAGAGAACCGGCGCACAGGUGCUGCAUGGCUGUCGUCAGCUCGUGUCGUGAGAUGUUGGGUUAAGUCCCGCAACGAGCGCAACCCUUGUCCUUAGUUGCUACGCAAGAGCACUCUAAGGAGACUGCCGGUGACAAACCGGAGGAAGGUGGGGAUGACGUCAAGUCCUCAUGGCCCUUAUGGGUAGGGCUUCACACGUCAUACAAUGGUCGGAACAGAGGGUUGCCAACCCGCGAGGGGGAGCUAAUCCCAGAAAACCGAUCGUAGUCCGGAUUGCACUCUGCAACUCGAGUGCAUGAAGCUGGAAUCGCUAGUAAUCGCGGAUCAGCAUGCCGCGGUGAAUACGUUCCCGGGUCUUGUACACACCGC
rnacentral:rRNA from 1 species